CUACGGGCUGCUGCAGUGGGGAAUAUUGCACAAUGGAGGAAACUCUGAUGCAGCAACGCCGCGUGGAGGAUGACACUUUUCAGAGCGUAAACUCCUUUUAUAUAGGAAGAAGAUGACGGUACUAUAUGAAUAAGCGCCGGCUAACUCCGUGCCAGCAGCCGCGGUAAUACGGAGGGCGCAAGCGUUACUCGGAAUCACUGGGCGUAAAGAGCGUGUAGGCGGAUUAAAAAGUCAGAAGUGAAAUCCUAUAGCUUAACUAUAGAACUGCUUCUGAAACUCUUAAUCUAGAAUAUGGGAGAGGUAGAUGGAAUUUCUGGUGUAGGGGUAAAAUCCGUAGAGAUCAGAAGGAAUACCGAUUGCGAAGGCGAUCUACUAGAACAUUAUUGACGCUGAGACGCGAAAGCGUAGGGAGCAAACAGGAUUAGAUACCCCUGUAGUC
rnacentral:rRNA from 1 species